rnacentral:rRNA from 1 species
GCAUAAUCACUUGUCCCUUAAAUCGGGACUAGAAUGAACGGCUAAAUGAGGACUAAACUGUCUCUUACAGGCUAGCCAAUGAAAUUGAUUUUCCAGUACAAAAGCUGGAAUACAACCACAAGACGAGAAGACCCUGUGGAGCUUAAAACCAAAUUCACCAAACAUGUCUCAUUGGUUUUCAGUUGGGGCGACUUCGGAGUACAAAAUAACCUCCAAACAUAAAACUAAUUAAGAACAACACAUCAAAAUAUGUUUAUAAUGACCCAGCAACCCUGUAGUUGUCUGAUUAAUGAACCAAGUUACCCCAGGGAUAACAGCGCCAUCCCCUUCUAGAGUCCCUAUCGACAAGGGGGUUUACGACCUCGAUGUUGGAUCAGGACACCCCAAUGGUGCAGCCGCCAUUAACGGUUCGUUUGUUCAACGAUUAAAGUCCAACGUGAU